rnacentral:rRNA from 1 species
AGUGAACGCUGGCGGUAGGCCUAACACAUGCAAGUCGAACGGCAGCACAGUAAGAGCUUGCUCUUACGGGUGGCGAGUGGCGGACGGGUGAGGAAUACAUCGGAAUCUACUUUUUCGUGGGGGAUAACGUAGGGAAACUUACGCUAAUACCGCAUACGACCUACGGGUGAAAGCAGGGGAUCUUCGGACCUUGCGCGAUUGAAUGAGCCGAUGUCGGAUUAGCUAGUUGGCGGGGUAAAGGCCCACCAAGGCGACGAUCCGUAGCUGGUCUGAGAGGAUGAUCAGCCACACUGGCACUGCGACACGGUCCAGACUCCUACGGGAGGCAGCAGUGGGGAAUAGUGGACAAUGGGCGCAAGCCAGAUCCAGCCAUACCGCGUGGGUGAAGAAGGCAUUCGGGUUGUAAAGCCCUUUUGUUGGGAAAGAAAAGCAGCAGGUUAAUACCCCGCUGUUCUGACGGUACCCAACGAAUAAGCACCGGCUAACUUCGUG